CAGAUAUUUAACUGAUACCAGAGGUAGAUCCUGGUUUUAUGGGGCCUGCAGCUUAAUUAAUUUAUACAACCAACUUUAAGAAAAAAAAAUUAACAAUAAAAACACAGGUAAAGGGACUUGAAAGGAACCUGAAUAAAUGUGUGGCCCAGAAGCUUGCACACAUUAACAUUUGACUCAGACAAUUUAAAGAUUAUGUUUUAUUCUAACAAAAUCUUUUAUUUCCAGGCAAAUAGCACUUUAACCUACCUUUGUCUGCAAUCCAUACUGCUCUGAGACACCUAACACUCAGGUUUGAAGAACUGCAAUCUCCAGUCUGCUGACAUGGGUAGAAUCUCGUUUGUCACCUGUAUAUGACAGCACCAAUGAAAUGGUGAUUUGGCAUUCUUGGCUUGUCAGUGUAUGAAAUACCAUGUAGCAAAACAAAACUAUGUUUCCAAAGAGUUUUGUUCUUGUCGUCCAGGCUGGAGGGCAAUGGCGCGAUCUCGGCUCACUGCAACCUCCUCCUUGUGUGUUCAAGCGAUUCUCCUGCCUCCGCUUCCUGAGUAGCUGGGAUUGCAGACGCCUGCCACCACGCCCAGCUAAUGUUUGUAUUUUUAGUAGAGACGGGGUUUCACCAUGUUGACCAGGCUGGUCUCAAACUCCUGACCUCAGAUGAUCCACCUGCCUGGGCCUCCCAAAGUGCUAAGAUUACAGGUGUGAGCCACUGUGCGGGGCCACAAGUUGUUUCUUAUAUCCUAUAUAUCCUAAUAAAGAAUACAACUGCCAAGAAGACAUUUGAGGGAGAAAAUAAACAUUGACUCUUUGUAUCAUAGUUAUACUGCUUCAUCUCAAAUCCUAACAAGUUAUUAAUGUUUGUAUUUUUAGUAAACGUAACUAGAUGAAAACUACUAAAGUGGGCAAAUAAGAAAUGUUAGUUUAAAAAAAAUAGAAUGGAAGAAGAUGUUUGAAAACUAUAGCAUUUAUUAAAUAGUAAAUAUUAAAAUACAAAGUUUGAAAAUAUAGUCUAUAUGAUUAAAGAAAAAUAAUAAAGCACUAUCAAGAUACUAUCUCUUUUUUCACCCUGUUUGUUAAAUGUAUUAUAAAAAUGUGAAGUCAUAUCAAAGUUUAUUAAUAAAAUUUAAAAAUGGAAUAAUAUGAAAUUUGACAAUAUCACUUUAACCCCUUUCACAAGUUAAAAUAUAAUAAAUAUUUUAAAACAAAAUGUUAAAAAAUGUAGUGAUAAUAUGCCAGUUAGAAUGGUGAUCAUUAAAGAGUCUAGAAACAACAGAUGCUGGUGAGGGUGUGGAG
rnacentral:lncRNA from 10 species